rnacentral:lncRNA from 1 species
ACAGUCGCCAUGACGACCGGGAGGUCCGCUCGUCAACGGCUAGUCAACGGCUGCGGGGACAAGUCCGUUGAGGCUGCCAGGCGAGUCAGGCCUUUCUGGACCUCGCCUGACUCGGAUGGGCUGUGCCUGAAAUUGACCCAGCUCCACUAGGGAUUAUGAAGAAACAAGGAGUAAACCCAAAGCCGCUGCAAUCUUCCCGCCCCAGCCCGUCUAAGCGGCCGUACGGGGCCUCCCCCGCCCGGGAGCUGGAGGUGGAAAAGUCGGCCCUAGGCGGCGGGAAACUGCCAGGGGGCGCCAGGAGGUCCUCCCCGGGGAGGAUCCCAAAUCUGAAAAAGCGAAAAGGCUUGGAGCUAAAGGUGGUGGCCAAGACCCUUCUCGACCCCUUCCAGUUCGUCCGUAAUUCCCUGGCGCAGCUCCGGGAAGAGGUGCACGAACUGCAGGCGCGGUGGUUCCCCAGCAGAACCACUCUCAGCAUCGGGACUUUAUUAUUCCUACUUCAAGACCAUCAUUGAAGCACCUUCAUUUUUGGAAGGACUGUGGAUGAUUAUGAAUGACAGGCUUACUGAAUAUCCUCUUGUAAUUAAUACAGUAAAACGCUUCCAUCUUUAUCCAGAGGAUUGGGAGAUCCUGCUUGCUUUUAUGUUGGUGUAAUCUUUAUUUUAAAUGGACUAAUGAUGGGAUUGUUCUUCAUGUAUGGAGCAUACCUGAGUGGGACUCAACUGGGAGGUCUUAUUACAGUACUGUGCUUCUUUUUCAACCAUGGAGAGGUUUGUUUUCUAGAAAGCAAUUUUUAAGAAAUAGAAGAGGCUGUAGAGGAACAAGGAAAUAUACUCAUCAAAACAAUAUUUAAUUGUAUACUACUUAUGACUUCACAAUAUUUUAAAGACCCUCGUGUUGACCUCAAGCAAUGAUAGAAGGCCCUUCAUUGCACUCUGUCUUUCCAAUGUUGCUUUUAUGCUUCCCUGGCAAUUUGCUCAGUUUAUACUUUUUACACAGAUAGCAUCAUUAUUUCCCAUGUAUGUUGUGGGAUACAUUGAACCAAGCAAAUUUCAGAAGAUCAUUUAUAUGAACAUGAUUUCAGUUACCCUUAGUUUCAUUUUGAUGUUUGGAAAUUCAAUGUACUUAUCUUCUUCUUAUUCUUCAUCUUUGUUAAUGACGUGGGCAAUAAUUCUAAAGAGAAAUGAAAUUCAAAAACUGGGAGUAUCUAAACUCAACUUUUGGCUAAUUCAAGGUAGUGCCUGGUGGUGUGGAACAAUCAUUUUGAAAUUUCUGACAUCUAAAAUCUUAGGCGUUUCAGACCACAUUCGCCUGAGUGAUCUUAUAGCAGCCAGAAUCUUAAGGUAUACAGAUUUUGAUACUUUAAUAUACACCUGUGCUCCCGAAUUUGACUUCAUGGAAAAAGCGACUCCACUGAGAUACACAAAGACAUUAUUGCUUCCAGUUGUUAUGGUGAUUACAUGUUUUAUCUUUAAAAAGACUGUUCGUGAUAUUUCGUGUGUUUUAGCUACAAACAUUUAUCUAAGAAAACAGCUCCUUGAACACAGUGAGCUGGCUUUUCACACAUUGCAGUUGUUAGCGUUUACUGCCCUUGCCAUUUUAAUUAUGAGGCUAAAGAUGUUUUUGACGCUGCACAUGUGUGUUAUGGCUUCCUUGAUAUGCUCUCGACAGAUGCUGUCUUCGCAGGUGCCAUGCCUACAAUGGCAAGCGUCAAGCUGUCUACACUUCAUCCCAUUGUGAAUCAUCCACUUUACGAAGAUGCAGACUUGAGGCCUGGUUGCAGUAUGCUUGAAAUCUGUGAUGUGGAAGACCCUUCCAAUGCAGCUAACCCUCCCUUAUGUAGCGUCCUGCUCAAAGAUGCCAGGCCUUACUUCACCACAGUAUUUCAGAAUAGUGUGUACAGAGUAUUGAGGGUUAACUGAGAAGGAAACUACCCAUUACACUAUGGCACAAUGUGGUGUGUCAAAAACAAUCACCCUUUGGCUUAUUUACAUUAAUAAAAAUCACAAGCUUUAAUAACAGACACUUAAAAAUAAGAUAAAAAUGGAUUGAAAGUUUCUCUGAUUACUAAAAGGUAAAUUACUUUUCUGUUCAUUGAAUGUCAGCCUUAUUAAGCUUGUCAUAUAAGUUAUUAAAUCAUUCAUGUCAUACUGCAUAAACAAAUGUUCAUUUCAGAAUUUUAAAGAAAAAUGUAUAUAAAAGAACAAUGAAUUUUAAUAAAUCAAGGGUACGUAAGUCCUUUUUCAUCCAA